rnacentral:rRNA from 1 species
UGGGGAAUAUUGGACAAUGGGCGAAAGCCUGAUCCAGCCAUGCCGCGUGAGUGAUGAAGGCCCUAGGGUUGUAAAGCUCUUUCAACGGUGAAGAUAAUGACGGUAACCGUAGAAGAAGCCCCGGCUAACUUCGUGCCAGCAGCCGCGGUAAUACGAAGGGGGCUAGCGUUGUUCGGAAUUACUGGGCGUAAAGCGCACGUAGGCGGAUCGGUCAGUUAGGGGUGAAAUCCCAGGGCUCAACCCUGGAACUGCCUUUAAUACUGCUGAUCUCGAGUCCGGAAGAGGUGAGUGGAAUUCCGAGUGUAGAGGUGAAAUUCGUAGAUAUUCGGAGGAACACCAGUGGCGAAGGCGGCUCACUGGUCCGGUACUGACGCUGAGGUGCGAAAGCGUGGGGAGCAAACA